UUCUUCUUCUUCUUCUCUUCCCUUCACCGCCAUGAUUUUUGAAGACAUCCAACUUCCAUUUUUUUUUUUCUUUUUCCUUCUUCAAUUUGCAGAGAACUUCUAAGAGAGAGUUUGGAAGAAGAAGAGAAAUUUUACUAGAAUUUUGAGGUUGAAGAAGAGGAGGAGAACUCAAGCAAAGUGUAUCCAUGGCUGAAUUUUAGUUCAUUCUGCAGAUCACUGGUUUUUAAUUGGGUUUGAACUAUUCAAAAGGAAUUAAGAGAAAACAGGGCAGUUGGUUUUCACUCGAAAUCAGGAGGUCUCUGGUUUUUCUUGUAUUUCAGAGUGUAUCGGUGGAAUUAAAAUCUCUAUUUGGCACAAGUCAAAGAGGUCGUGUGCGCGCGAUUCUGGAAGUGGUUCUGUUUUGAGGGUUAUAUGUGUUUAUGCACGGGGAAUUAGAUUUAUAUGUCUUCAUGCCGAGAAGAAUUAAACCGAGCUUAUAGACCAAGGAUCUAGCCCAAGACUGUAUUGAUCGACUUCCCGGUGCCUGAUAGACGACCUUAGUCUGCGGAAGCUUCAUUACCGAUUGCCAGUACGUGCUUUGAGUUGGGCAUAGAGUCUGUUGUGUUGUGAUGUAUAUACACCCUUGUAUGUUAUAGAUACUCAAAAGUUUGUAUAAGCUUUAGGAGCUAUAGUUGUGUAAAUUUUGUUGGUUAUAUUUUGAUUAAGGUGUCUUUAGGUUUACUCGUGAAAUCGGUAAAUUUUGAGGUACACUUCAUGUAUGUGUUUGACUAGCUGUGUUUGACUAGCCUAGGAUCCGCUGUGUUUUGUGGCAUGUACAAUAGUUUAUAUACAAGAUUGGCAAGUUCAUCACAUGAAAGUUUUAAGCAGAGUCGACAGAUACAGGUACAGAAAAGCGUUGUUCGUCGGCUUCACGCCAUCUUUCGAUCUAAGGUAGCAGGUAGUCCGGGAGGGGGUGUGACACUCCACUUCGGGUCACGGUGAGUCUUUGGUGAUAGGGGUUUGACGCUCAAGUUCACGAUCCCACGGCAAGUUCAUUUGGAAAUAGCUCCCUUUACUCGGGUGGAUCUGUUGAGCGUGGACUCGAUCGAGGGGCAUAACCAAGUAUCAGCUAAGGGUUUUCCUACUACUGGACCUCGGAUCGAGGCUGGAAACGUAGUAAUCCACAGGGGAUUACACGUUAGUAACUGUACUAAAUAAAUGGAUGUAUGUUUGACUUUUAAGUAUCGUUGCUAUGCUCUUGUCUGAUGUGAAGGUAACGUGACCACUACUUGUAGCUUGUGUGCCAUCGGGAGUAAGGAGUUGGUCGUGGAAGGACGGUAAGGGUACAGCGAGGGGCAGACCGACGAGGGGCAAGAAGGAUGCGUGAAGGCCAUAUGGAUGCGUCUGGUUUUCUUUAUGCUUCCGCUGAUGUAUUUUGUUAGAAUAUUUGGUUUUGUGAUUGUGAGUUUGAUGACUUGAGUAUUGUAUUUGAAACUCUCGUGACUGUGAUUUAAAAUAGGGUCCGAAACUGUUUUUGUAAUAUUUCUAACGUUUUUAAUGAAUCGUAACCGGUCCGUUAUGAGUUUUC